rnacentral:rRNA from 1 species
AGCGAACGCUGGCGGCAGGCCUAACACAUGCAAGUCGAACGAACCUUUCGGGGUUAGUGGCGGACGGGUGAGUAACACGUGGGAACGUGCCUUUAGGUUCGGAAUAACUCAGGGAAACUUGUGCUAAUACCGAAUGUGCCCUUCGGGGGAAAGAUUUAUCGCCUUUAGAGCGGCCCGCGUCUGAUUAGCUAGUUGGUUGAGGUAAUGGCUCACCAAGGCGACGAUCAGUAGCUGGUCUGAGAGGAUGAUCAGCCACAUUGGGACUGAGACACGGCCCAAACUCCGACGGGGAGCAGCAGUGGGGAAUCUUGCGCAAUGGGCGAAAGCCUGACGCAGCCAUGCCGCGUGAAUGAUGAAGGUCUUAGGAUUGUAAAAUUCUUUCACCGGGGACGAUAAUGACGGUACCCGGAGAAGAAGCCCCGGCUAACUUCGUG